GACGAACGCUGGCGGCGUGCUUAACACAUGCAAGUCGAACGGAAAGGCCCUGCUUGCAGGGUACUCGAGUGGCGAACGGGUGAGUAACACGUGGGUGAUCUGCCCUGCACUUCGGGAUAAGCCUGGGAAACUGGGUCUAAUACCGGAUAGGAGCCAUUUUUAGUGUGAUGGUUGGAAAGUUUUUUCGGUGUAGGAUGAGCUCGCGGCCUAUCAGCUUGUUGGUGGGGUAAUGGCCUACCAAGGCGGCGACGGGUAGCCGGCCUGAGAGGGUGGACGGCCACAUUGGGACUGAGGGACGGCCCAGACUCCUACGGGAGGAAGCAGUGGGGAAUAUUGCACAAUGGGCGCAAGCCUGAUGCAGCGACGCCGCGUGGGGGAGGACGGCCUUCGGGUUGUAAACUCCUUUCGCUAGGGACGAAGCUUUUUGUGACGGUACCUAGAGAAGAAGCACCGGCUAACUACGUG
rnacentral:rRNA from 1 species